rnacentral:rRNA from 1 species
CACGGUCCAGACUCCUACGGGAGGCAGCAGUGGGGAAUAUUGCACAAUGGGCGCAAGCCUGAUGCAGCCAUGCCGCGUGUAUGAAGAAGGCCUUCGGGUUGUAAAGUACUUUCAGCGGGGAGGAAGGGAGUAAAGUUAAUACCUUUGCUCAUUGACGUUACCCGCAGAAGAAGCACCGGCUAACUCCGUGCCAGCAGCCGCGGUAAUACGGAGGGUGCAAGCGUUAAUCGGAAUUACUGGGCGUAAAGCGCACGCAGGCGGUUUGUUAAGUCAGAUGUGAAAUCCCCGGGCUC